rnacentral:misc_RNA from 1 species
UCUCCGUAGGUGAACCUGCGGAGGGAUCAUUACCGAGUGAGGGCCCCUGGCCCGACCUCCAACCCUUUGUUCUCAAAACCACUGUUGCCUCGGGGGUGACCCGGGCCCGUCGGCCCAGGGCGCCCGACGGACAAUUCCAAAACACUGCAACGGUGCGUCGGAUUACAAAGUUUAAUGAAUUAAAACUUUCAAUAACGGAUCUCUUGGUUCUG